rnacentral:rRNA from 1 species
GACGAACGCUGGCGGCGUGCCUAACACAUGCAAGUCGAGCGGAGAAUGCGGACAUGUUUACAUGGAAGUGUUCUUAGCGGCGGACGGGUGAGUAACACGUGGGUAACCUGCCUCAAAGUGGGGGAUAGCCUUCCGAAAGGAAGAUUAAUACCGCAUAAGCCUACAGUACCGCAUGGUACAGCAGGAAAAGGAGCAAUCCGCUUUGAGAUGGACCCGCGGCGCAUUAGCUAGUUGGUGAGGUAACGGCUCACCAAGGCGACGAUGCGUAGCCGACCUGAGAGGGUGAUCGGCCACAUUGGAACUGAGACACGGUCCAGACUCCUACGGGAGGCAGCAGUGGGGAAUCUUCCGCAAUGGGCGAAAGCCUGACGGAGCAAUGCCGCGUGAAUGACGAAGGCCUCGGUGUAAAUUCUGUCCUAAUGAAGAAUGUAUCCUUGUGAAUAAUGGGGAUAAUGACGGUA